GGCCCAAUGGUCUAGUAGUAUGAUACUCGCUUCGGGUGUCAAAGCCCGCUCUGCCAAGAGUGAAGUUGUGAGUGGUCCCGGGUUCAAUUCCCGGUUGGGCCC
rnacentral:tRNA from 1 species